rnacentral:tRNA from 3 species
GGGUGAUUAGCUCACUGGGAGAGCACCUCCCUUACAAGGAGGGGGUCGGCGGUUCGAUCCCGUCAUCACCCACCA